rnacentral:rRNA from 1 species
UACAGAGGGUGCGAGCGUUAAUCGGAAUUACUGGGCGUAAAGGGCGCGUAGGUGGUUAGAUAAGUGCGUUGUGAAAUCCCUGGGCUUAACCUAGGAACUGCAACUUAUACUGUUUGACUAGAGUACGGUAGAGGGCAGUGGAAUUUCCGGUGUAGCGGUGAAAUGCGUAGAUAUCGGAAGGAACAUCAGUGGCGAAGGCGGCUCACUGGACUGGUAUUGACGCUGAGGUGCGAAAGCGUGGGGAGCAAACAGG